CAUAGUGAGGUACGUGUAGG
rnacentral:miRNA from 1 species